rnacentral:rRNA from 1 species
UUCCAGACUCCUACGGGAGGCAGCAGUGGGGGAUAUUGCACAAUGGGGGGAACCCUGAUGCAGCGACGCCGCGUGGGUGAAGAAGCGCCUCGGCGCGUAAAGCCCUGUCAGCAGGGAAGAAAAUGACGGUACCUGAAGAAGAAGCCCCGGCUAACUACGUGCCAGCAGCCGCGGUAAUACGUAGGGGGCGAGCGUUAUCCGGAUUUACUGGGUGUAAAGGGAGCGUAGACGGUUCUGCAAGUCUGAAGUGAAAGCCCGUGGCUUAACCGCGGAACGGCUUUGGAAACUGUGGAACUGGAGUGCUGGAGAGGCAAGCGGAAUUCCUAGUGUAGCGGUGAAAUGCGUAGAUAUUAGGAGGAACACCAGUGGCGAAGGCGGCUUGCUGGACAGUAACUGACGUUGAGGCUCGAAAGCGUGGGGAGCAAACAGGAUUAGAUACCCCAGUA